AACGGUCUAUACCUGCGGUACCUGCGGAGGGAUCAUUACUGAGUUUCACAACUCUCUAACCCUGUGUGAACUGAAGUCUGGUUGCUCAGGCAGGCGGCCCCCGGGGGGAGCCGCAGCUUCUCUGAAGCGCCUGCCGGAGGAUACCUAAACUCGUUUUAACAUAUAAUCUUCUGAGUAAUAAAAAAAAUGAAUCAAAACUUUUAGCAAUGGAUCUCU
rnacentral:misc_RNA from 1 species